AAAAAAGGAAGGAUUUCUCAAAACAUGUCUAUCCAAUGGUAGACAAGACGAAGAGUUGGAGAGGUAUAAAAGGCGAGGGAGGGUUCAGGUUCCCGGCGCCGGUGGGGGUCAUUGUCCCUUUAGCUGUCUGGCUUGCGCACUAUGAAACGUCGUCGUUCCGGCGCGCCAAUGCUCGGAACUUAGCUGCUGCGUACGAGUACCUCCAUGGAAACGCAUUCAUAUUUCCAUUAGAGGCCUUCAUCUUCACCCUAUUUCUCCUUCUUUGUUUGGACUUAGGCAGACAAUACCUACACAAAUUAGAGAUUGCGAACGCGUCUCCAUCGAUUCUUAAUCUUAAAGUGGCAGACCAUGGCUGGGAAGAAAAUUAUAGCUAUAUGUCAGUCAGGGGGCGAAUUUGAGACAGAUAAAGAUGGUUCACUAUCUUAUAGGGGUGGGGAUGCUCAUGCAAUUGAUAUCGAUGACCAAAUGAACUUUAAUGAGUUCAAGAUGGAGAUAGCAGAAAUGUUUAAUUGUAGCAUUGACACCAUGUCUAUCAAAUACUUCCUCCCUGGAAACAAGAAAACCCUCAUCACAAUUUCAAAUGACAAGGACCUGAAACGCACGAUAAAGUUUCAUGGAGAUUCCACCACUGUCGAUAUCUACAUCAUGAUGGAAGAAAUCGUCACCCCUGACAUUUCAAAUAUGCCUGCCAGUAGGUCAAGUAGAACGACAUUGUCUGAAGCUGUGGUUCUGGUCGAUGCCCCUCUUGGCGUUGGUGAUGAUGUCAUGGAGGGUACAACCCAUCCUGAUAACCCAAUAAUUGCCCCUCUGGAUGUUGUAGAUGAUACUGCUCAUGUGGAUGAUCAUAUCAAUAUACCUGUUGACAUUUCUCCUGUUAUUCCUAUUGACAUUUUGAAUGACGAUAAGCAUGUUAAAGCGGCAGAGCAAUGGCAGAACACUAUUACAGGUGUUGGUCAGAGAUUUAGUGGUGUUCAUGAGUUUCGUGAAGCACUGCGUAAAUAUGCCAUUGCCCACCAGUUUGCCUUUAGGUAUAAAAAGAAUGACAGUCAUCGUGUUACUGUUAAAUGCAAAGCAGAAGGUUGUCCAUGGAGAAUUCAUGCAUCAAGGUUGUCAACAACUCAAUUAAUUUGUAUUAAGAAAAUGAAUGCAACCCAUACAUGUGAAGGGGCUGUUGUAACAACUGGGUAUCAGGCUACAAGGAGUUGGGUUGCAAGCAUUGUUAAGGAGAAGUUGAAGGUUUUCCCAAAUUACAAGCCCAAGGAUAUUGUAAAUGACAUCAAACAGCAGUAUGGUGUUCAACUGAAUUACUUUCAGGCAUGGCGUGGAAAAGAGAUUGCAAAGGAGCAGCUUCAGGGUUCAUACAAAGAGGCAUAUAAUCAGUUGCCCUUUUUUUGCGAGAGGAUAAUUGAGACAAAUCCAGGCAGUUUUGCUACUUUCACCACCAAGGAAGACUCAAGCUUCCAUCGACUCUUUGUUUCAUUUCACGCCUCACUGUAUGGCUUCCAGCAAGGUUGCCGGCCUCUUCUUUUCCUUGAUAGCAUACCCUUGAAGUCAAAAUACCAGGGGACAUUGCUGGCUGCUACAGCUGUAGAUGGGGAUGAUGGUGUUUUUCCAGUUGCUUUCGCUGUAGUAGACGCUGAAACUGAAGAUAACUGGCGUUGGUUUUUACUUCAACUGAAAUCUGCGCUGCCAUCGUGUCGUUCUAUAACUUUUGUAGCUGACAGAGAGAAGGGGUUAAAGGAAUCAAUUGCCAAGAUAUGUGAGAGUCCAUACCAUGGCUAUUGUCUACGCUACCUUACAGAACAGCUUAUUAGGGACUUGAAGGGGCAGUUUUCACAUGAGGUGAAGCGUCUCCUUAUUGAGGAUUUUUAUGAAGCUGCUUAUGCACCUAAGGUUGAAGGCUUCCAAAAGUGUGUCGAGAGCAUCAAAAGUAUUUCACCAGAAGCUUACAAUUGGGUGAUACAAAGCGAGCCUUCACAUUGGGCAAAUGCAUUCUUUCAGGGUGCAAGGUAUAAUCAUAUGACAUCAAACUUUGGGGAACUCUUUUAUGGUUGGGCAUCUGAUGCACAUGAGCUACCAAUAACACAGAUGGUUGAUGUUAUACGGGGUAAAAUUAUGGAGUUGAUUUAUCAACGCGGGACAGAUUCCAAUGAAUGGCUAACAAGGUUAACUCCAUCCAUGGAGGAAAAGCUAGAAAAGGAAGGGUUGAAAGUUCAUUCCCUUCAAGUGUUACUUUCAGCUGGCAGCACAUUUGAGGUUCGUGGUGAUUCUGUUGAAGAAGUUGAUAUUGAUCGCUGGGACUGUACUUGCAAAGCUUGGCAGCAUACUGGUCUGCCUUGUUGUCAUGCAAUUGCUGUCAUUAGUUGCGUUGGCCGAAGCUCAUAUGAUUAUUGUUUGAGAUACUUAACAACUGAGAGCUACAGAUUGACAUAUUCAGAGUCAAUACAUCCUAUUCCAAACGUAGACAGAUCUUUGCCAAAGGAUACUUCUCAAGUUGCAGUGACUGUUACUCCUCCUCCUACUCGCCGUCCACCAGGCCGGCCCACUACUAAGCGAUUUGGAUCACAAGAAGUAGUCAAACGUCAACUUCAGUGCAGUAGGUGCAAAGGUACUGGGCACAACAAGUCAACAUGCAAAGAAUCACUGUAGAAGUUGGACACUAUUUGUCAUUAGAAAAGCAUUGCAACUUUUUACCGACACUAAGUCAAAGAAUUAUUUAUGAUAUGAUUUCAUAAAUCCAUGCAAAGAAGCUGUGGCUCAAGGGUCAGUGACUCAGGGUUAUAUCAAACAGAAGGGGCAUUUGCAAUCUGUACAUCUAUUAACUUUUUCAGGGAUUGGAAGAUUUAGGAUGCAGAGUUAAUCAGCCAUUCUCAUGGUACCUGAUGCAUCCAAUGCAAUGUUCUGUUUUCAAUGCCUUCCUGUUGAGAAUAGUAGGUAUAGGAUUUGUCGAGUGAUCUUUCAAAUGUAGGGGCUGCCUAGCGCUUAAGCCCCCAAAGUUGGGCUGAUCUAAUUGAAAAUCAGAUUCUUGUCCAUUGUCCUAUUUAGAGGGCUUUCACAUCCA